rnacentral:ncRNA from 1 species
GACUGCCGUGUGCGGUGAAAGUCGCAUGCACGGUAUGGAGCGGGGGAAAAGUUUCAGUGUAUUAGAUAACUUAUUACAGUUAUUGAAGGCUGUUUAACGGAGGACUAGGUCCAAAGACUUACCUAUCGCUAU